UUGAAAGGGAAACGAUUGAAGUCAGUCGUGCUGGCGCGAAAUCAACCUUCUCGUCUUGAGAUCACAUGGCGUGGCGAGCCUCAAAACCGUCACGAAGCGUGAACUCUUGGUGAAAUGGAGCACUUUCGUGUCCGCUGGUUAACAUCAAUUUCGAACGUCAUAAAAAGGCUGGAGGGAUGUGGCUCCUUCGGGAGUGUUAUAACCUUUGGCGGAAUGUGGUGUUUGGGAUUGAGGAUUGCAACGAAUACCCUUUGGGCUAUCCGUCUGGCCUCUGAAAGUUGCUUGGGUGCUGAAAGCUUGCUUAUGGUUAUCUAAGUUAACGGUCAAUAGGUUAGAACGUGAUUACAUUCGUUAAGGAUGUUGACGUA
rnacentral:rRNA from 1 species